rnacentral:tRNA from 2 species
GCCGGGAUGGCGGAAUUGGUAGACGCGCCGGACUCAAAAUCCGGUACUGGCAACAGUGUGAGAGUUCAAGUCUCUCUCCCGGCACCA